rnacentral:rRNA from 1 species
CCUACGGGCGGCAGCAGUGGGGAAUAUUGGACAAUGGGCGAAAGCCUGAUCCAGCCAUGCCGCGUGUGUGAAGAAGGCCUUCGGGUUGUAAAGCACUUUCAGUGGGGAAGAAAGCCUUGGGGCUAAUACCCUCGAGGAAGGACAUCACCCACAGAAGAAGCACCGGCUAACUCCGUGCCAGCAGCCGCGGUAAUACGGAGGGUGCGAGCGUUAAUCGGAAUUACUGGGCGUAAAGCGCGCGUAGGCGGUCUGAUAAGCCGGUUGUGAAAGCCCCGGGCUCAACCUGGGAACGGCAUCCGGAACUGUCAGGCUAGAGUGCAGGAGAGGAAGGUAGAAUUCCCGGUGUAGCGGUGAAAUGCGUAGAGAUCGGGAGGAAUACCAGUGGCGAAGGCGGCCUUCUGGACUGACACUGACGCUGAGGUGCUAAAGCGUGGGUAGCAAACAGGAUUAGAUACCCGAGUAGUC